GAUGAACGCUAGCUACAGGCUUAACACAUGCAAGUCGAGGGGCAGCAGGGAUUUAGCUUGCUAAAUCCGCUGGCGACCGGCGCACGGGUGCGUAACGCGUAUCCACCUUUCCCGUUACUCAGGGAUAGCCUUCCGAAGGGGGGAUUAAUACCUGAUGGUGUUUGAAGUUCGCAUGUUCUUCAAACUAAAGAUUUAUCGGUAACGGAUAGGGACGCGCGACAUUAGAUAGUAGGCGGGGUAACGGCCCACCUAGUCUACGAUGUCUAGGGGUUCUGAGAGGAAGGUCCCCCACACUGGAACUGAGACACGGUCCAGACUCCUACGGGAGGCAGCAGUGAGGAAUAUUGGUCAAUGGUCGGAAGACUGAACCAGCCAAGUAGCGUGAAGGAUGAAGGUUCUAUGGAUUGUAAACUUCUUUUAUAUAGGAAUAAAACCUCCCACGUGUGGGAGCUUGUAUGUACUAUAUGAAUAAGCAUCGGCUAACUCCGUGCCAGCCGCCGCGGUAACAC
rnacentral:rRNA from 1 species